rnacentral:pre_miRNA from 1 species
CCUCCUUGUAGCUGUCGAAUUACGUCUAACGUUCGAUUGUUUGUUUUAUUUUAAAUUUUUUUUAAUUAGUAUUUACAUUGAUAUUAGAUGAUAAAACAUGUAUAAUAUUUUACACGUGAUUUAUUUUUCUAAUAUUUUUAUAAAUUUUUUAAAUAAGAUGAAUGAUCAAAUAUUGGAUACAGAGGUCCACAGCACACUUAAA